rnacentral:rRNA from 1 species
AUGCUGCCAAUACUGAGAAUAAGGAGUCACACCAAGACAUGCCAGUUGGCAUACUACGAGCGGCUUGAGCCUUAUUUGGAGAGAGUUGGCCUCCUGCCAGUUGUUCUUCAGUUCAAGCAUGUACCACUGGUGGUGAACCAUGCUACUGACAAAGCUCUGUUGCAUCAUUGGCAGCCGGGGACACACUGUUUCCACCUUCCCAGUGGGGAGAUGACGAUCACCCUAGGGGACUUCAUGGUGAUCACUGGUCUUCCGCUCCACAGCGAGUCUCUCACUGGACGAGUGUGCAACAAGUUUGGGCAUGAGAGGGUUACCAGUCUCAUAAGUGGUUGCUCCCCCUCUCUUACUCUUAGGAAAAAGACAAACAACCGGACAUCCGCUGUCCCAUUCAAGUGGCUCUGUGAGAACAGGUCGGGAUGCCCGCAAGGUGCCGAAGAUGAGACGUGGGGCAGUAUGCGUGGGCGUACCUGUGGUAUCUCCCAUCUCAUGUACUUUUUGCACUCUGCUCCGAUGACAUUGCGUCGUGGAUGUAUCUUGACUUCCUGA